UAUAGUUGUUUUCUCAAUAUUUGAAUAUCAUUUGAACAACAUUACAAUGAAUUUCUCUCAGGCUGUCUCGCUUCAUGGUGUUGGUGAAGGGCUGGUCAUCUCACAGUAGUCAGCCCUCAGAUGCCCUUCCUUUAGACUCAACCAUGAAGUCACACACAGAGUUCAGAGAGGCCUGGAGGGCAGAGAGCAUGUCCAACACCAGACUCUCUGACCAAGUCCGCAGGAGGAAGAAGUGAGUCCCUGUGUGUGUGUGGUGUGUGUGGUGUGUGUGUGUGGUGUGUGUGUGUGUGUGUGUGUGUGUGUGUGUGUGGUGUGUGUGUGGUGUUUUGCUCAAUUUCUCUUCCUCAUGUUGCAAUUAUAUGACUUAGAAAUGAAUAGCUGCUUAGAUUUGAAGCUAACACGUGUAUUUCAUAUUUGUUCAAGCAAUGGUCAAUGGCCCCUUGCAGCAUACAAUAUGAACAACUGCAACAACAAGGAUGACAAAAAAGACGAGAAGAAGGAUGAGAAGAAACCGGAUCCCCCGAAGCCACCUGAUAAGAAACCGGAUGAGAAGAAGCCUGAUCCCCCGUAAGUAUAUUCAGAUUCUAUGGUUAUAUGGAAGUCWWAUARGUARAAACAAAAAAAAUGGAUUAUAAGUUAACAGGAAAAAGCUUUGUAUUUUAUGUUUAUUUCAGUAAAGAAGUGUGGAUCAUUGACCCRGCCACAGAUAUGUACUACCAAUGGCUGACAAUAGUAGCUGUCCCAGCAUUCUACAACUUAAUGCUUCUGGUGCCAAGGUGUGUGCUGUUUUAGAAUUCCAGUUUUAGAGUUUCCCAAGAUAUUGUUGAGUAAUUGUGAAUGAUCAAUACUCUUGUGUUUCUGCUUAUCUCCCAGAGCUAGUUUCAAUGACCUGCAGGCCAACUAUGUAAUGCUGUGGAUGGUUCURGACUACACUUCAGAUGUCAUCUAUUACAUUGACACGUUUGUGAGAUCUAGGACAGGUAAAACCAUUCUUGUUUAGGGUWGUUGAAAUKAUUUCUACAUAACAUAGCCUUGUUCAARAAUUCYGU
rnacentral:lncRNA from 1 species